CAGCCAGACCCAGCCAACCUUCCGUUUUGAAAUGAGGUACACGGGUCUCUCGCGUCAAAAAAAAUCCCCUUCUCUCUCUCAUCCGAAAACCAAGCGACAGGCGACGCCCCGAGAACACCAUGGUGGUCGCUCGCGGGCUGCGAGGGAGAGCCGUGGCGGAGUCGCCGUCCUUGCCCACGGAGGAGGACGUGGCCGCCGCCGCAGUGGGAUGGCGACGCCGACGCCCAUGCCCGGAGGCGAGGGGACGCUCGCGGCGGUGAUGCCGCGGUCCCCGUCGCUGACGCCGGCGGAGGCGUGGAUCUCGGCGACCGAGACGUCGUGCUGAUAUUCCUCUACUUCCACAAGGCGAUCCGUGCGGAGCUCGAGGCACUGCACGUCGCCGCCGUGCUCCUCGCCACCGAGCGCACAGGCGAUGUAGCGGCGCUCGCCGAGCGCUGCCGCUUCUUCUUCAACGCCGAGGACGCGAUCGUCCUUUGCGGAUGGGGUCAGCAGCAGCACUGCCAGCGCCGAGCGCUUAAGCGCUGUGCUUGCUCAAUCGAGCGGUGCUUGCUUUAGGAUUCCCGUAUGUGGCCGCUCCCUAGGAACUCAUCUGCUUGGAGUACGUUUCAUUCUGUUCAUCGCUCUCUCUGGCUUCUGUUCGUUGUUCUCUGUGUUCGUACAGUGUGCAAGCAGACUAGCACCUGCACCGCUCGGCUUCACUCCUCGUCUUCUCGAGAGGCCAGGUCACAAUGCUACCAGUGCCGGCGUCCAAGCGCUGUGCGUGCUCAUCGAGCUGUCCCAGUUCGUUCUCAGACAGAGACAAUUCACUGUACAGCGGCAAGUGCAAAGCUUGAUCGUGCCUUGCUUUUAAAUCUUGUGUUGUCAGCUACAGAAAGUUCUCUCAAUACUUUGCAUUCUAAUUCAGUCAUGUGCACGUACUUGAUUUUGUGUUUCCAACGGUGUAGCUCGUGGCUGAAUUUUUAUACAUUUUCUUCUAAUUUUUUGUCUGCAGGAGAUGCGGCAUCAUAGUCUUGUGCGCUGGUGCAUAAUUAGUGGCUGAAUUUUUAUACAUUUUCUUCUAAUUUUUUGUCUGCAGGAGAUGCGGCAUCAUAGUCUUGUGCGCUGGUGCAUAAUUAGUAUGAACGUUAUCAUUGCUUUUUAUACAACUACAUGUUGAUGAUGUUCAUGCUUUUUAUGCAACCUGGAUGGGAGUUUCAUUACCAUGCCGCACGGUGAUAUGAAUCUGCCGACGAAGCCAUGGAAAUGAAGGGACACCAACACAGUCAAGCAAGAUUUUUACGUGCUUGAUUUUGAUUUUUAUGCUUUUUCUUGUUAUUAUGUGCAAUGAAUAUGUUUUUGUGCAAUUGAUUUUUUUUUUUAUUUCUAUGCUUUCUUGAGCCAAAUAUGUAAGCAGGCAAGCAAUUGAUUUUUGCUUCAAAGAUAAUGGUUUGUAUGUAGGUGAGCGGUGGCGGUCCGCUGCAUUUUCUUCAAAAAAGAAAGGUGGCUUUCUGCUGAUCUAUGUGUGUUAUAUUUAUCCAUCUAUGCAAUACUUGGUUUUUACAAGCAACCCCAAUUUAAUCAUUUGAAUGUUACCGGUGGCAAAUCUAGUCCGCUGUGGCCUCCCCCACCACCAGCAACGACAUCGGUGGCGGCUUUGUUCUCUCUCGGCGCCGGCUCUAUGCCUCCCGGCUGCGAUGGUGCUCCCUCUUCUAGCGUAGCCACGCACAACGCUCCUUCCAUGUUAAUGAAAUUGAAAUCUUAAAUAGAUGUUUUAUGCAUGCUGAACCUAAUAUUUUUUGAAUAUGUUGGGUGAUUUCUAUGCUUAGUUUGCAUAGGUUUCAACACAAGUUGAAUUCAAAUUUCAACUAUGACGUGCAAGAAGAGCUACCAAUAAGUUUAUAUGCUUAACAAGUUAGAUUUAUAUGUAUUUCUUUUAUAUUAUGUGCAAUGAAUAGUUUUUUGUACAUUUGGUUUUGGAUUUUUAUGCUUUGUGGAUUGCCUUCCUCGGUAGAAUAGGUUUCUACCAAGGCUGUCAAUGGUUUCUAUGCAUAUCAAAGUAGACGACAUGUCAGGUGAGCAUGUUUCUAUGUAUAUCAUUGAAGUGGCCUUACCAAGGAUUUUAUGCUUGGUUUUCGUAGGUUUCAUUCUCUUAGUUUGCAUAGGUUUUCCAGUAAUGAAUUGCUUUUAAUUCAUGCAAACACUAGAUUUUAUAUGUGGUCAUGAUAAAAAAAAUAUUUCUAUACAGUCUAAUCUAAGAUUUUAUGCAUUUGAUUGAUUGGAUCCCUAAAGGUCCCCCACAUGUACGGGCAUCAGCCCUAUGGUGGGUUGGGUGGAGGUGGCUGGCGUGACUUCCAAUAGAAAUAUGUGAGACUAAUAUAUUUUUGGCAGCAUGGACAUGGAUGCAAUAGAGGAUGCAGUGGUGUUGCAGAGCUGCUGCCCAUGGUGCUUUUGGCCAAUCAUAGGUACCGUUGCUAUCUUUGGGUGACUAUUUCAGUAUUUAUACCAGUAAGUCCAUGGCAUUUGGCAUAUAUGCCUGAACCUGCUUUUGGACAUUUACUUGUAGUAUGUUCAUAUGUCCAUGAACAAUCUUAGUUUGUUGUUUGUAUAUAUGUGUGUACUUGUGUAUUUUAGUUGAAAGUUUUACUUCUACAUUGUUGGUACACAAUUCUAUACAUUGUUCUAUGUAUUCUUUGGGUUAUGGCUGCCACGUUCCUGGUACAAUAAUCCCCUUGAAUGGAGGGUAUUUGGGGUUUUAUGCAUUGCUCCUUUGUUAAUUAUACACCCUCAAAGUUAAAAUAAUUAUUUAGGGUUCUACGCAUUGUUUCUUUAUUGAUUACUCAUUCAUCCAAGUGGGAGGCAAGGUUUGGGUUGGGACCAUAAUAGAUCUUUGUGUCAGUAAAAUAAGUUUACAUGUCUUUCUUGCAGCUAUAAGGUAUAUGUGCAUACUAAAACUUGUUUCUAUGCUUUUUCUUUUGCCGCUGUAAGGUUUCUGCGCCUUCCAAAACAUGUUUCUAUACCUUAUUCUGAUGUAGGAUGGUUGGAAGGAAGCACCGAUGUGAAAAUGACAUCCUUCAUGUGUAAAAGUUGUGCUCCAUGUUAAUUUCUAUGCUUCAUGUGUGAUGGAUGUUGUUAGCAAGAGGUAUUUUAGAUCGAGCUUUCUUUGGAUGAUAAGUUCGGGAUGGAUGUGGUCACAAUUUUUAUGUUUCAUGUGUAAAAGUUUUCUAUGCUCCAUGUUGUCUCAUGUUUUUUUUCAAGAUGGAGAUGUUGUAGCUAGAUGUAUCUAUGCUUCAUGUGUUUCUAGAAUUUCAUGUCUUUGUGCAACUAUUUUUAUACAAUACUAAGAACUAGCAAUGCAAGCAAGCAUGGUUUCAUAUGCUUUUUUUGUACCUGUAAACAUGUCACUAAUUAUUUUCUAUGUGCUUCUUAAAUUUUCUAGUAUUAGUUAUUUUUUAUGCAUAUAUGUUGGUAAGUGAAGAGGUCUAAAAUUAUCUGUUAUUUGUGAAACUACGUGUAUGAGGCAAAACUUUAUGAUAAACGACUAAAAUUACUCGUUAUUUGUGAAACUACAUGUAUGAGCAUGGUGCGAAUCAGUGGUGGCGGAUGGUGGUGUGGACAAUGGCAAUGGCGUGGCACGGUCAAGGAUGUCUUCCAUAGGUUUCUAUGCCUGACUUUGAUGAUUUUUGUGUCAGUGGCAUAGUGUGAUCUUUUUUGAAACAAUAUCGGGUCAAUGUAAAAUAUUGAUGGCUCAUGUAAUUGAUGGCUUACUCAUAAGAACAGAUUUGUAUGCAUUCUUGAGCAUUUAUGUGUUCACCAGUACACAACUAUAUGCAUGGUUGAAGCACUCUUAUAUGCAAUGUUAGAACACUUCGACAUACGUUGUUGGGAUAA